CUGGCAUAAUACUGCAUAAGCUGCAAGUCCACUGGCAGUGAAGAGCACUCUCACUGAAGCGGCAUCCAACCAACAUUGUUUACGUCAAUAUUCUACAUGCCAACAUUCCAAUAUUGGGUUCCCGCUAUGAUACCACUGACGCAUCAACACACACUUGUGGCCAUGCUACUAAAAGCCAAGUCCAUUCUGCAUUCGGCAGGAGGAGAGGAGAGAGUGUGUCCCCGUUUCAAAAAAGAAGCGAACAAUUGGAAGGGCCACUUUUUAACCUUGACGCAGUCAGUAAGUACCAGACACCCUAUGAAGCUCAUGUGAUCAAACACAGGGGUGCAGCCCCGAUGUCUGCGGUGACUUGGCAGACAUUACAGUUCGGUCUCAAGAUGCAUGAAACACCACCCAUGGGCACCCCAUUAUUGUUUCAAGCUGGCCGUGCCGGUGGUUUCGGGCAUGACUCAUGGCACCAUUUCCAACCGCACAAGCAAUCACAGCAUCUCGCUUCUUCCCUGUGUCUCUCCGUUGUAACUGUGUGUCACCAAAGGCGCCCUCUGUGAGCAGCAACAAACAAGUCAAGCAUUUCAGGACACUGAAGUGUACCCACAGUGAGAGUCAACUGUAACUCGCCCAACCAAAACGCAACACAGGAGCAGUGGGAGAUGGUGAUGACCAGCUUGGCAUUGGAGGAUCAGCAAAACCUGAUCGCCAGAGCCAAAAUUGCCGCCACCACUGCUAGGGCUCUGGACUGAAGGCUCCACCAACUAUGGGGAUCCAUGCCGCAGUGUGCCCCAUCAAAAUAAAGUUUUCCCUCUCUCCCACCCCCUUCUAAUAGAAGCUGCUGUUUGCUGCUGA